rnacentral:sRNA from 1 species
AAAACUAAAUAAUGUUUGGCAAUAUAUAUUACGAAAUAAAUUGUAAAUCCUACUAUAUUAUUUAGGAAGUACAUUUUAAAUGUAACCUUAUCUUUUGUAAGUAAUUACAUAGGUAUGCCAUUAGAAAUAAAAUUUUAAAUAGUAAAUUAAUUCAUCUCUUUAAAAAUUAAAAAGUCAAAUACUAAUUUAAUU